AAUGCUGCGCGCUACCUGUCCAGUCUGGUGUCCCCUUCUGGCACCUCUACCCAGUCCUCACACUGUCGAGCCCCACGUUCCGGGCGUAUGGAGCCCAUGAAACCUAGUGCCACGGAGGCAGGGCCAGACAAAGAGACACCAUUGCAACACACACUUGAACCCGGAGUCCAGCUGUUCCCAUCAUGUGUUCAGCAUUAAACUAGUGAAGGCUCUGCUUCAUACGAAGGGGAACAAUGUUUGGCAG